rnacentral:rRNA from 1 species
GGCGGUUCGCCGCCGAUGACGUCGCGAGAAGUCCACUGAACCUUAUCAUUUAGAGGAAGGAGAAGUCGUAACAAGGUUUCCGUAGGUGAACCUGCGGAAGGAUCAUUGUCGAAUCCUAUGGGAAAAACGACCAGAGAACCGGUUAUAAAACUCGACGAGGACGGUGGGUUUCACCCGACGUCCUCGACACGCCUUGGGGUUGCGCUCGAGCGCCUCGAGCGCCUGAGCGUCCCAAUGGCGGAACAACGAACCCCGGCGCGGAAAGCGCCAAGGAACUCGAACAAAGAGAGCGAAGCUCCCCUCGCCCCGGGCACGGUGCGCGGGCGGGACGCCAAGUGAUCUCCUAUUAUCAUAACGACUCUCGGCAACGGAUAUCUCGGCUCUCGCAUCGAUGAAGAACGUAGCGAACUGCGAUACUUGGUGUGAAUUGCAGAAUCCCGUGAACCAUCGAGUCUUUGAACGCAAGUUGCGCCCGAAGCCGUUUGGCCGAGGGCACGCUUGCCUGGGUGUCACACAUGGCGUUGCCCCAAUCCCCUCGCCUCGAGGAAACUCGGGCGUGCGGGCGUUGGGAGCGUAGGUUGGCCUCCCGUGACCGUCUCGUCUCGGUUGGCCCAAAAUCGAGCGUCGGAGCGAUCAGCACCACGACAUUCGGUGGUUGACUAGUGCUACUAAUCAGAUGUCGCGCGUGCCCGCUCGUUUGUAUGCUCCGUGGAUCAAUCCUUUACCAACGCGACCCCAGGUCAAGCGGGGCUACCCGCUGAGUUUAAGCAUAUCAAUAAG